rnacentral:rRNA from 1 species
AGUGAACGCUGGCGGUAGGCCUAACACAUGCAAGUCGAACGGCAGCACAGGAGAGCUUGCUCUCUGGGUGGCGAGUGGCGGACGGGUGAGGAAUACAUCGGAAUCUACUUUUUCGUGGGGGAUAACGUAGGGAAACUUACGCUAAUACCGCAUACGAACUACGGGUGAAAGCAGGGGCUCUGGGGACCUUGCGCGAUUGAAUGAGCGGAUGUCGGAUUUGCUAGUUGGCGGGGUAAAGGCCCACCAAGGCGACGAUCCGGAGCUGGUCUGAGAGGAUGAUCAGCCACACUGGAACUGAGACACGGUCCAGACUCCGACGGGAGGCAGCAGUGGGGAAUAUUGGACAAUGGGCGCAAGCCUGAUCCAGCCAUACCGCGUGGGUGAAGAAGGCCUUCGGGUUGUAAAGCCCUUUUGUUGGGAAAGAAAUCCAGCUGGUUAAUACCCGGUUGGGAUGACGGUACCCAAAGAAUAAGCACCGGCUAACUUCGUGCCAGCCGCCGCCGUAA